GAUGAACGCUGGCGGCGUGCCUAAUACAUGCAAGUCGAGCGAACCACUUCGGUGGUGAGCGGCGAACGGGUGAGUAACACGUAGGUGAUCUGCCCAUCAGACGGGGACAACGAUUGGAAACGAUCGCUAAUACCGGAUAGGACGAAAGUUUAAAGGUGCUUCUGGCACCGCUGAUGGAUGAGCCUGCGGCGCAUUAGCUAGUUGGUAGGGUAAAGGCCUACCAAGGCGACGAUGCGUAGCCGACCUGAGAGGGUGAACGGACACAUUGGGACUGAGAUACGGCCCAGACUCCUACGGGAGGCAGCAGCUAAGAAUAUUCCGCAAUGGAGGAAACUCUGACGGAGCGACGCCGCGUGGAUGAUGAAGGCCGGAAGGUUGUAAAUCCUUUAAGUCAAGAAGAAUAAACUUUAACAGGAAUGGUAGAGUGGUGACGGUAUUGCUUGAAUAAGCAACGGCUAAUUACGUAG
rnacentral:rRNA from 1 species